CAAUGGACAAUACAAAGGGCAGCGAAACCGUGAGGUCAAGCAAAUCCCAUAAAGUUGUUCUCAGUUCGGAUUGUAGUCUGCAACUCGACUACAUGAAGCUGGAAUCGCUAGUAAUCGUAGAUCAGCAUGCUACGGUGAAUACGUUCCCGGGUCUUGUACACACCGCCCGUCACACCACGAGAGUUUGUAACACCCGAAGCCGGUGGAGUAACCUUUUAGGAGCUAGCCGUCGAAGGUGGGACAAAUGAUUGGGGUGAAGUCGUAACAAGGUAGCCGUAUCGGAAGGUGCGGCUGGAUCACCUCCUUU
rnacentral:rRNA from 1 species